UACGAGUGCCCCGAGCGUUAUCCGGAAUUAUUGGGCGUAAAGGGUGUGUAGGCGGUUGUGUUAGUCUUCUGUUAAAUUCUUCGGCUUAACCGGGGGCAUGCAGAGGAAACGGCACAACUAGAGGAUGCGAGAGGUGAAUGGAACUCAUGGAGUAGGGGUGAAAUCCGUUGAUAUCAUGGGGAACACCAAAUGCGAAGGCAAUUCACUGGCGCACUCCUGACGCUGAAACACGAAAGCGUAGGUAGCGAAUGGG
rnacentral:rRNA from 1 species